rnacentral:lncRNA from 1 species
AUAAUAUAACAUGUUUGAUCAUGUCUUAACGGGGAAACCCGUAAAUCUACGGACUUGAUCUGUGAGAGUCCGACACUUGGGUGGAGUGUCGUGAGAGUCAUUGGUGUCCACUCGAGGCCAGUGCCUUGUCCGGGGCCUUACCAAAAUUACUUUCGGGCAGGACGCGAAGACACGUGUGAUAGGGCUAGCUACCCUCGAC